rnacentral:tRNA from 1 species
AUUUAAAUAAUUUAAAUAAAAAUAUUGAUUUGUGGAGUCAAAAAUAUGAAGAAAUUCAUUUUAAAUU